CNANNNUNANCCAUNCANNNNNAGUAUAGCAUUAUACAGCGAAACUGCGAAUGGCUCAUUAUAUAAGUUAUCGUUUAUUUGAUAGUACCUUACUACUUGGAUAACCGUGGUAAUUCUAGAGCUAAUACAUGCUAAAAAUCCCGACUUCGGAAGGGAUGUAUUUAUUAGAUUAAAAACCAAUGCCCUUCGGGGCUCCUUGGUGAUUCAUGAUAACUUCUCGAAUCGCAUGGCCUUGUGCCGGCGAUGGUUCAUUCAAAUUUCUUCCCUAUCAACUUUCGAUGUUUGGGUAUUGGCCAAACAUGGUUGCAACGGGUAACGGAGGGUUAGGGCUCGACCCCGGAGAAGGAGCCUGAGAAACGGCUACUACAUCCAAGGAAGGCAGCAGGCGCGCAAAUUACCCAAUCCCGACACGGGGAGGUAGUGACAAUAAAUACUGAUACAGGGCUCUUUAGGGUCUUGUAAUUGGAAUGAGUACAAUUUAAAUCUCUUAACGAGGAACAAUUGGAGGGCAAGUCUGGUGCCAGCAGCCGCGGUAAUUCCAGCUCCAAUAGCGUAUAUUAAAGUUGUUGUGGUUAAAAAGCUCGUAGUUGAACCUUGGGCCUGGCUGGCCGGUCCGCCUCACCGCGUGUACUGGUCCGGCCGGGCCUUUCCCUCUGUGGAACCUCAUGCCCUUCACUGGGUGUGGCGGGGAAACAGGACUUUUACUUUGAAAAAAUUAGAGUGCUCCAGGCAGGCCUAUGCUCGAAUACAUUAGCAUGGAAUAAUAGAAUAGGACGUGUGGUUCUAUUUUGUUGGUUUCUAGGACCGCCGUAAUGAUUAAUAGGGACAGUCGGGGGCAUCAGUAUUCAAUUGUCAGAGGUGAAAUUCUUGGAUUUAUUGAAGACUAACUACUGCGAAAGCAUUUGCCAAGGAUGUUUUCAUUAAUCAGGAACGAAAGUUAGGGGAUCGAAGACGAUCAGAUACCGUCGUAGUCUUAACCAUAAACUAUGCCGACUAGGGAUCGGACGGUGUUAUUUUUUGACCCGUUCGGCACCUUACGAGAAAUCAAAGUGCUNGNCUCNGGGNNNNNNGNNNNANNUNAANUA
rnacentral:rRNA from 1 species